rnacentral:rRNA from 1 species
GACGAACGCUGGCGGCGGGCUUAACACAUGCAAGUCGAACGGAAAGGCCCGGCUUUUGUGGGGUGCUCGAGUGGCGAACGGGUGAGUAACACGUGAGUAACCUGCCCUUGACUUUGGGAUAACGUCAGGAAACUGGGGCUAAUACCGGAUAGGAGCGCCUGCUGCAUGGUGGGGGUUGGAAAGUUUCGGCGGUUGGGGAUGGACUCGCGGCUUAUCAGCUUGUUGGUGGGGUAGUGGCUUACCAAGGCUUUGACGGGUAGCCGGCCUGAGAGGGUGACCGGCCACAUUGGCACUGAGAUACGGCCCAGACUCCUACGGGAGGCAGCAGUGGGGAAUAUUGCACAAUGGGCGGAAGCCUGAUGCAGCAACGCCGCGUGCGGGAUGACGGCCUUCGGGUUGUAAACCGCUUUCGCCUGUGCCGAAGCGUGAGUGACGGUAAUGGGUAAAGAAGCACCGGCUAACUCCGUG